rnacentral:rRNA from 1 species
GAUGAACGCUGGCGGCGUGCCUAAUACAUGCAAGUCGAGCGAACGGACGAGAAGCUUGCUUCUCUGAUGUUAGCGGCGGACGGGUGAGUAACACGUGGAUAACCUACCUAUAAGACUGGGAUAACUUCGGGAAACCGGAGCUAAUACCGGAUAAUAUUUUGAACCGCAUGGUUCAAAAGUGAAAGACGGUCUUGCUGUCACUUAUCGAUGGAUCCGCGCUGCAUUAGCUAGUUGGUAAGGUAACGGCUUACCACGGCAACGAUGCAUAGCCGACCUGAGAGAGUGGUCGGCCACACGAGAACUGAGACACGGUCCAGACUCCUACGGGAGGCAGCAGUAGGGAAUCGUCCGCAAUGGGCGAAAGCCUGACGGAGCAACGCCGCGUGAGUUAUGAAGGUCUUCGGAUCGUAAAACUCUGUUAUUAGGGAAGAACAUAUGUGUAAGUAACUGUGCACAUCUUGACGGUACCUAAUCAGAAAGCCACGGCUAACUACGUG